CUGAGUGAGGGCUCACGCCCGACCUCCAACCCUUUGUGAACGCAUCUCGUUGCUUCGGGGGCGACCCUGCCCUUCGGUCGGGCGCCCCCGGAGGUCAUCAAACACUGCAUCUCUGCGUCGGAGUCAAAGUUAAUUAAACA
rnacentral:misc_RNA from 1 species